GAUGAACGCUGGCGGCGUGCUUAACACAUGCAAGUCGAACGGGAAACAUUUUAUUGAAGCUUCGGCAGAUUUAGCUUGUUUCUAGUGGCGGACGGGUGAGUAACGCGUGGGUAACCUGCCUUAUACCGGGGGAGUAACAGCCAGAAAUGGCUGCUAAUACCGCAUAAGCGCACAGAACCGCAUGGUUCCGUGUGAAAACUACCGGUGGUAUAAGAUGGACCCGCGUUGGAUUAGCUAGUUGGCAGGGCGAGCGGCCUACCAAGGCGACGAUCCAUAGCCGGCCUGAGAGGGUGAACGGCCACAUUGGGACUGAGACACGGCCCAGACUCCUACGGGAGGCAGCAGUGGGGAAUAUUGCACAAUGGGGGAAACCCUGAUGCAGCGACGCCGCGUGAAGGAAGAAGUAUCUCGGUAUGUAAACUUCUAUCAGCAGGAAGAUAAUGACGGUACCUGACUAAGAAGCCCCGGCUAACUACGUGCCAGCAGCCGCGGU
rnacentral:rRNA from 1 species